CAAGGCAAUGGCUAGAGCAGCUCCUUGGUUGCAUGGAGGAGCAGGGGCGCGAAGUGGCAAGCCAUAGUGCACCUGGGCAAGAGUGCGAGGUGGCAGGCCAUAGUGCACCUGAGCAAGAGCGCGAGGUGGCAGGCCACAAUGCACUUGAGCCAGAGCAUGAGGCGAUAGGCUCAAGUGGACCUAUGCUACAGCAGGACCACAAUGCAUUUGAGCAAGCGCGCGAGGCGGCAGACCACAAUGCACCUAGGCAGGAGGACGAGCUGGCACGCCAAGGUUCAUCGAUGCGUGAUGAUGACUAUGGGGAGGACUACGAUGGAGAGGCCGAUGGAGAGGCUGAUGACGAGGUUGUUACAACGACACAGGCAACGAACUUCAAGUAAUUUUAUUUUGACGGGGAGUUCUAUUUUUUGUUGGAUUGAUAUUAUUACCAGUGCACAAUUUACAAUUUUGUAGGUUUCGGCGGUCCCUUAGAGUUCCACCGACACAACCCUUGGACCAACGUAGGGUCAUAAACCCUACAGGAGAGAGGAGCUAGGUGGAGGUGGCAUGGAGUGGCAAAGGUCACCAGACACCAGCUUUGUGAUGUUUCUAGGUUGGGGAUCGGUGACGGGGUUGUGAGUCGCGAUAGCUUUGGUCGUCGGUCUGUUUCCUCGGUGGGGAGUAGAUCUCAAACUUCAACUUCGAGGGAAUCAGAGCUUGAUGAGCAACUAAGACAACAACAACAAGUUCAACAACUAUCUCAACAAGUUCAGAUGAUGCAGGGAAUGCUGAUGCAGAUGUAUAGUGCUCAGAUGGGAUCUCCAAUGGGACCCUAGUUCACCUGUCCGUCACAAUCUUGACAGACCCAAACACCAACGAAACACAGGGUUCUGAGACCGGACAAGGAAACCCACAGAUGAACAUUCAGUGGUCGAUGCCUCCUAGAGGACAGAUUCUUCCUCCUCCACAACCAGGUAUGGGAUAUUGGCCGCCACCACCAUGGGGAUAUCCUACACAUCCAAUGGGGCCUUGGGGACGCCCCCCAUGGCCAACACAGCCACUUCCAUCACCAGCGGUACGUUCCUGAAUUUAAUGCUAGUUGAUUUCAAUGCUAGU